ensembl:snRNA U1 U1 spliceosomal RNA
AUACUUACCUGACAGGGGAGAUACCAUGAACACCAAGGUAGUUUUCCCAGGGCGAGGUUUAUCAAUUGUACUCCGGAUGUGCUGACCCUUGGGACUUCCCCAAUGUGGGAAACUUGAUUGCAUAAUUUGUGGUAGUGUUCACAUUCU